CCACGGCGAGCCGUCUCAGCCUUCCCUCUCCAUUCCGCGAUUCGUGGCCCUUAAUCCCGCCGACUGCGACUUAGAGCUCGUGGCAUGGCGAAGUUUUCGAUCAUAAUUUAAGCACAAGACAGAGACUUUAGCUUGUCUGAGCGUCAUGCAUGCAUCGUGUUGCUUCGAUCUUGAUGAAUUAACAAUUUCCAAGUUAAAUUUUCCAGAUUUUGAGAUUGGAUUCAAUGGACUGCUUGGCUCAUCACUUUAUGAGAAGGGGUUCGCUUAUUGCUGGUCAGGUGCUCGAGCAAAUGCGGGAAUAAAAAGAGGAAAGUAUUGCUUUGGUUGCAAAAUCAUAUCAAAACAACCCGUAAUCAUGGAAGACACCCCACCGGCCGAACGGCAUGAAUGUCGAGUUGGUGUCUCAAGGGGAGAUAAUGCUGUUGGAAGCCUCGGGCAAAGCUUGCACAGUUUUGGGUUUGGGGGCACAGGAUGGUUUUCCAGUGCAGGAACGUUUCAUAACUAUGGUGAACCUUUUGGAGUUGGUGACACAAUAGUUUGCUGCAUUGACCUCGAAACCAAACCUGCAUCAAUUGGCUUCUUCAAGAAUGGGAAAUGGAUGGGAAUGUCAAUGCAAUUUGAAGUGGUGGAUUCUCCAAUAAUCAAACAUCUAGUUUGGGAGUCGGCCUUUUUCCCUCAUAUUUUACUAAAAAAUGUUGUAGUCACUUUACAGUUCAGUUUGGAGGAUGGGUUGGAAGGUGUUGAAGGGUAUAAGCCAUGGUUUUCUGCUAUAGAGGAUGGAAAAGCAUUGCCGGGUCCAACAUUUUCAGAGGUUCAUGAUUGUGAAGUUAUAAUGAUGGUGGGCUUACCUUCUUCAGGCAAGAGUACUUGGGCAGAGAAGUGGGCAAAGGAGCACCCUGAGAAGCGAUACAUUGUGCUCGGAACAAAAUUAAUAUUGGAUAAAAUGAAGGGGCCUGGUCGGUUGUAUAGUUAUGGUGGGAGAUUUGAGCGUUUGAUGGAGUCUGCUACUGAGGUGUUCAACACUCUUUUACCUAUGGCUUCAAAGCUGCCUCGUAAUUUAAUACUUGACCAAACAAAUGUUUAUAAAAAUGCUCGUAAGCGCAAACUGAAGUCAUUUCUGGACUACAAAAAGAUUGCUGUGGUGAUAUGAUGUUUCCUGCACUGGAAGAGUUAAAAUCCCGUGCUGAGAAGAGAUUGAAAGAAAUGGGAAGGGAAGAAGUUACUGCUGAAGAAGUAAAGAAGAUGAUAGGUAGUAGUUACUACAUGGCCGGAUUAGAAUAGAUUGUAUGGAAAGGAGUUAUCUAGUUCCUAGCUAUAUAUCAUUUUGAUCUGAUUUGUAUGUACAUGCAUCUUACUUGCAGUGAAUUUUGUUUUACCUAUGAGCAAAGACAUGCAUCAGGCAGAUGAGUACUUUGAUGAGGUUAUGUUUCCAGAGCGUAGAAGAGCAGAGUCUGAGAGGUACUUGGAUGAGAUGAAAGCAAAUCUAUCUUCAAAUUAAAAAUGGAGUUAUCAAUUCAAUGUGAAGGGGCUUUAAUUUGAUGGAAGCCAACCAACACUCAGUCACCUAUCCACUACU